rnacentral:rRNA from 1 species
AUUGAACGCUGGCGGCAGGCUUAACACAUGCAAGUCGAACGGAUGUAGCAAUACAUUAGUGGCGCACGGGUGAGUAACGCGUGGGAACGUGCCCUUAGGUACGGAACAACAUCGGGAAACUGAUGCUAAUACCGUAUAAUAUCUUCGGAUCAAAGAUUUAUCGCCUAAGGAUCGGCCCGCGUUGGAUUAGGUAGUUGGUGAGGUAAUGGCUCACCAAGCCGACGAUCCAUAGCUGGUCUGAGAGGAUGAUCAGCCACACUAGGACUGAGACACGGCCCAGACUCCUACGGGGGGCAGCAGUGAGGAAUAUUAGACAAUGGAGGAAACUCUGAUCCAGCCAUGCCGCGUGAGUGAAGAAGGUCUUCGGAUUGUAAAGCUCUUUUACCCCUGACGAUAAUGACGGUAAGGGGAGAAAAAGCCACGGCUAACUUCGUGCCAGCCGCCGCAGUAA